CCCGGAAGGAGGCGGCGCGGGCCCGGGGAGGCGUCACCACCCCCCGGGAUGGGGGAAAGGGUUACCUCCCUCUCAGGGACCAGUGACCGCAGGCAGGGGUGCAGGGGCGCGGCGACAGCCUCCAGCGUGGCGGGCGUGGGUAGUGACCCAUGGGAAGGGCUCGAUGGAAUGAGAGUCCCCCUGGUGGAUGGGGCCAGCGAGAAGAGGGUCCUCUUUCUGGAAGGAGCCACCCCACAAGAGGGCUGAGGUCAGGUAGGGGCUGUUGGUCAUAUAUGCCCUAUCUAACAUGGCGCCCAGGUAGCUUCUCUUCCUGUGUUUCCGUUUCUCGGCGCCAAUUUUCAAUCCCGCCGGCGGAAAAUCCAGCCCAAUAAGAACUAAUUUCGUAGGCUUUGGAACUGACAUCUGGAAGAACUUACCAAUAAACAAGCGCCCGUUUACCUAAGUCCUGCCUCCUAUCCUUAGAGCUAUAUAAGCACUUAGCCUUUUGAAAUAAAGUGGAACUUCUCCGGUGACUUGUCUCCCGAAACCUGGGAGAAGGGUGAGCUCAUUUUAACAGAGCCCCAUUUCCGGCUCCACGGGACAUCUUGAUCUCGUCCACCUUUUCAGGCGCUGGCUCUUUACACCCACCACUGAUCGGGCUUGGCUUCUGCUUAGGAACUACCAGCCUCUGAUGACCGAUGAACCCCGAAUAUCUUCAAGAGAACAGCUCACUCAGUGCUGAAGCUUACUACCAGGCACAAUGAAAAACGACGGACAUCGGACAGCGGGAGACAAAAAUCCAGGAUGGCAGAGGAUCUCUUAGCCUGUCAACCGGGAUUUUUGAGCCUUUAUGUCCUUUUAAGCCUCCUCAUGGCCCUUGGCCUCUUCUCUUUCAGUCCCCCAGCAUGGAACUCCCACCGAAAACUGACCUUUGUUUUAAUUCUUAUCUUCAUCUUGUUCUUGUUUGCUCUGAUCAUCUUCAGGUGCUGGUGACGCCCCUUAUGACAGGGACACUAGGAAAUAUUGGAAGCGCUAUUUUGACAUGACAUUGGCGCUCCCGAUGCUUCCUGGAGCCCUUGUUACGAGACCUAAUGGCUGGUGACCAACCCCAACAACCUCCAUCCAGGGAUAACGCCCCACGCCACCCCUACUCAGCAGGAAGUAGCCAGAGUCAAAUGACGUCCCUGUUCCAAAAACAACACAAAAGAGGGGGAAAUGUUGGUCAUAUAUGCUCUAUCUAACAUGGCACCCAGGUAGCUUCUCUUCCUGUGUCUUCGUUUCCACCAGCGCCAAUUUUCAAUUCCGCUGGCAGAAAACCCAGCCCAAUAAGAACUAAUUUCGUAGGCUCCAGAACUGAUAUCUGGAAGAACUUACCAAUAAACAAGCACCCUGUCGUUUACCUAAGUCCUGCCUCCUAUCCUUAGAUCUAUGUAAGCACAUAGCCUUUUGAAAUAAAGUGGAACUUCUCCCGUGA